rnacentral:rRNA from 1 species
UACGUAGGGGGCUAGCGUUGUCCGGAAUCAUUGGGCGUAAAGCGCGUGUAGGCGGCCCGGUAAGUCCGCUGUGAAAGUCGGGGGCUCAACCCUCGGAUGCCGGUGGAUACUGUCGGGCUUGAGUACGGAAGAGGCGAGUGGAAUUCCUGGUGUAGCGGUGAAAUGCGCAGAUAUCAGGAGGAACACCUAUUGCGAAGGCAGCUCGCUAAGCCGUAACUGACGCUGAGGCACGAAAGUGUGGGUAGCAAACAGG